GGAGGCGUCGCAUAGUGGACUAGUGCGAUCGUUUCGAAAACGAUUACCGGGGAAACUCGGUCGCAGGUUCGAAUCCUGCCGCCUCCGCCU
rnacentral:tRNA from 1 species